AUUGAACGCUGGCGGCAGGCUUUACACAUGCAAGUCGGACGAGUGGCGGACGGGUGAGUAACAUCUCGGAACGUACCUGAUGGUGGGGGAUAACUAAUGGAAAGGUUAGCUAAUACCGCAUAUUAUUCGAGCUGCCCAAAUCUGAUUAGCUGGUGGGUGGGUGAAAGGCCCACCAAGGCGACGAUCCCUAGCGGGUCUGAGAGGAUGACCCGCCACACUGGGACUGAGACACGGCCCAGACUCCUACGGGAGGCAGCAGUGGGGAAUUUUGGACAAUGGGCGCAAGCCUGAUCCAGCCAUGCCGCGUGUCUGAAGAAGGCCUUCGGGUUGUAAAGGACUUUUGUCAGGGAAGCGGUACCCGAAGAAUAAGCACCGGCUAACUCCGUGCCAGCAGCCGCGGUAAUAC
rnacentral:rRNA from 1 species